GAUUAACGCUGGCGGCGUGCAUAACACAUGCAAGUCGAACGAUGAAACUCAUUUGAUUUCUUCUGCAUGAAAAUGAAUGGAUUAGUUGCCAACGGGUUAGUCACGCGUGAGUAACCUGCCUUACACAAGGGGAUAGCCCCUGGAAACGGUGAAUAAUACCCCUUGAUACCAGGCAAUCGCAUGAUUAUCUGGUCAAAAUGUUUAGUGGUGUAAGAUGGACUUUCGUCUGAUUAGCUAGUUGGUGAGAUAAAAGCUCACCAAGGCAACGAUCAGUAGCCGGCUUGAGAGAGUGUACGGCCACAUUGGGACUGAGACACGGCCCAGACGCCUACGGGAGGCAGCAGUGGGGAAUUUUGCACAAUGGGGGAAACCCUGAUGCAGCGACGCCGCGUGAUUUAGAAGGCCUUCGGGUUGUAAAAAUCUUUUGUAUAGGAAGAAAAUGACAGUACUAUACGAAUAAGGUCCGGCUAAUUACGUG
rnacentral:rRNA from 1 species